rnacentral:sRNA from 1 species
GUCAAAAGGAAAGCCACUCGGUCGCUA